UAAAUGGAACAUCCCCAAACCUUGCGGUAGCCACAAUAAAAACCCUGCUGAUUUGGAAUUCGGGGCUCUCAAUCCUGAUCCGUUGUGUCAGUGACGGUUGAGUGCCCCUGCUCGAGCUUGAAUAAACGACCCUCGUGUGUUUACAUCGGAAACGGCUCCUUGGUGGUCUUUGGGGACUUUGCGAUCUGGGCACAACAGACUUUUUCUUUUACCAUCAGACGUACACUUGCAAUUCUUUGUUGAUGUACAGAAGGAUCUAGAAUCUGUCUCUCGAGUCCUUCACACAUGGUAUCACAUGCAUUGAGCCUAGCCAGGAACCAGCAGCCAGAGACACCAGGCCAGCUAGGAAGGGAGGCAGCUGGGAGCAUGCCCUGGACUGCGUGGAUUUGGGCGGCCACUUGGAUAGUGGGUGAAGUUGUUCAUGGGACGCAGUGGAAUCUAUGGUCGCACACCAAUUUAUCAGAAAGAAGAUGAGGAAGAAAAGAAUGAGAGAAGACAAAAGCUUGUGAGAAAUCAACAACAAGAAGC
ensembl:lncRNA